rnacentral:rRNA from 1 species
UACGGGGGGAGCAAGCGUUGUUCGGAUUUACUGGGCGUAAAGGGCGCGUAGGCUGCUCGGAAAGUCGGAUGUGAAAGCCCUGGGCUCAACCCAGGAAGUGCACUCGAAACUCCCGAGCUGGAGUCCCGGAGAGGAAGGCGGAAUUCUCGGUGUAGAGGUGAAAUUCGUAGAUAUCGAGAGGAACAUCGGUGGCGAAGGCGGCCUUCUGGACGGUGACUGACGCUGAGACGCGAAAGCGUGGGGAGCAAACAGG